GGCGACAAGGGCAAACCCAGGGCGACCUGGGGACGCAAAAUCACGGAUCUGCGCAGGCAGAUGGCCGGAUUACCGAAA
rnacentral:ncRNA from 1 species